CUGCAGAGCAGCCCAGUCCUGGAUGCCCAGGUGUCCUCACUUCCCGAUCACGACUGAGUACAGGAGGCUCACCAUGGAGCUCGCACUCAGCUGGGUUUUUCUUGUCGCUGUAUUAAAAGGAGUCCAGUGUGAAGUACAGCUGGUGGAGUCUGGAGGAGGCUUGGUGCAGCCCGGUGGGUCCCUGAGACUCUCCUGUGCAGCCUCUGGAUUCACAUUCAAUAACUACAGCAUGAACUGGGUCCGCCAGGCUCCAGGAAAGGGGCUGGAGUGGCUUGCGUACAUUAACUGGAAUGGUGGUAGCACAAGCUAUGCAGACUCUGUGAAGGGCCGAUUCACCAUCUCUAGAGACAACGCCAAGAACACGCUGUAUCUGCAAAUGGCAAAACUGAAAACCGAGGACACGGCCACGUAUUACUGUGCAAAAGACACAGUGAGGGGAUGUCAGUGUGAGCCCUGA